CAAAGGGCGACAUGAGUGGCAAAGCUGUUCGAGUGGCUGGAGCCAUGCAACAGGAAGUGACCGCGAAGCGUGGAGAAUUGGACGCCUUACAAAACAAAAUCCAUUGGUUGACAGAAAGCCUAAAUACAGCUUCCAAGGACGCACGCUAUUACGAGAGG
rnacentral:lncRNA from 1 species